GGCUUAGAUCUUUAUAAAUAAUUUUUUAGUAAUUAAAAAGACGAAUACUUUGUUCGUCUUUUUUUACUUAACUUAUUACUGCGCAGAGCGCGACACUCAUAACGUCGAGGUCGAGAGUUCGAUCCUCUCCCCAGCCA
rnacentral:tRNA from 1 species